rnacentral:misc_RNA from 1 species
AAAGUCGUAACAAGGUUUCCGUAGGUGAACCUGCGGAAGGAUCAUUACUGAUUUGGCGGACCGAGCGUCAGCGAGGUUUCGCGAUCACUUGUAUUUAAAACCCACACUUUGAAAUGUAUUUGUAUAUUUUUGUAUUUUUAAUAAUAAUAAAAGAUCACUUUCAACAACGGAUCUCUUGGCUCUC